CUCACUGGUCGAGUCGGCCUGCGCGGAAGAUGUAACGGGGCUAAACCAUGCACCGAAGCUGCGGCAGCGAACGUAUCACCCAAGACAACUUUACGGAGUUGACGAUUGACGGAGCGAAGCGACGUCAAAGCGUUCAUUAAAGUCGAGUUGGCUUAGGGAUACGUUCGUUGGGUAGGGGAGCGUUCUGUAAGCCUGUGAAGGUGGCCUGUGAGGGUUGCUGGAGGUAUCAGAAGUG
rnacentral:rRNA from 1 species